GACGAACUACCAGCCCGAGCCUUAA
rnacentral:piRNA from 1 species